rnacentral:rRNA from 1 species
GAUGAACGCUGGCGGCGUGCCUAAUACAUGCAAGUCGAGCGAACAGACGAGGAGCUUGCUCCUCUGACGUUAGCGGCGGACGGGUGAGUAACACGUGGAUAACCUCCCUAUAAGACUGGGAUAACUUCGGGAAACCGGAGCUAAUACCGGAGAAUAUAUUGAACCGCAUGGUUCACUAGUGAAAGACGGUUUUCCUGUCACUUAUAGAUGGAUCCGCGCCGCAUUAGCUAGUUGGUAAGGUAACGGCUUACCAAGGCAACGAUGCGUAGCCGACCUGAGAGGGUGAUCGGCCACACUGGAACUGAGACACGGUCCAGACUCCUACGGGAGGCAGCAGUAGGGAAUCUUCCGCAAUGGGCGAAAGCCUGACGGAGCAACGCCGCGUGAGUGAUGAGGGUCUGCGGAUCGUAAAACUCUGUUAUUAGGGAAGAACAAAUGUGUAAGUAACUAUGCACGUCUUGACGGUACCUAAUCAGAAAGCCACGGCUAACUACGUG